GUGUUUUCUCCAUCCCUCCUCUUCACAGAUGUUUACAGGUUUGUUACAGAGGCACCAUUAAAGCCAGGUGUUUUAAUGUUGUGGAAGAUGACAAACUGGAGAAUGCAUCAGAGAAGGAUGACAGCAUGGGGAGACUGACAUUCAGCAGGACUUUGGGAGAAGACUUCUGGACUCGCAGCAGCAUCAGGAAAUGCCAGACCAUGACUGUGCUGGGACAUUUUGAUCUUUUGGUCAACGUUCUGUGCUUUCAAGUGACCAAAGUCUUUCACCGGUCAUGUUGUUUCCCCUCUCGCAGGCAGCAGAGCUGCCUAUAUUAGGAAAUGCGGCCGAGCCAACUGUGAUGUACGGCGGCGUCAGGGAGCAAGGGUGAAACCGCG
rnacentral:lncRNA from 1 species